GGAGUGGUACUAGAGAGGUUUCCUAGUUACUUAUUUAUGACAAUUCAGGUUUUCAGACAUUUGGCUCUGUGCCUGUAGCAGCUUUGGUUUGGCCGACGCACACUGUUGACUAUUUAGUUCCUGCUAUGUCAGAAGCAACUCAAAUGUGUUGGCAGAGGGAAAACUAAGAACCAGUAAGAAGAAGGUGGGGCAUUGAAAGUUAUAAAUAAAUACAGUGUGGAAACUGGUUUUGAAAAACAUUAGGCAUGAUUUUCCAGGUUUUGCACAGUCUCUGAGGCUGUUUACACAUGAACCUUCCUGUGUCCAACGAGUGUCAGGAUAACAAUCUGUCAUGGUUCUGGGUUUUUGUAGAGUAUUAGGUUUUUUAUGAUUUCAUUACUUUUGGUUCUUUUUGAUUUCAUUUUUUUUUAUUACUUGUUGUGUUUCUAGUUUCCCUCUGUCUUUCACAUUUUGUUCAAGAGUUUUUACAAAAAUUUUAUUAACUUUAUUAAUACCUCGCCAUUUUUAGAGACUCAAAAUGCAUUAGACAAAGUAAAAAAGUCUUAAAUGUGAGGAUUGUUUUUAAGUACUUAAUGAAAAAUCCUUCAUAGUCAGUGACUGCCUGAAAUCUAGCCAUGGACAUCACCAAAUGCUGUGUUUCCUCCUCUUGAGAUGUUCUGUUAGGCCUUUACUUCAGGCAUCUUUAGCUGCUGCAGGCUCUGCUGGGUUCAAGAACAGCCUGAUUCUUUGCACUGAGAGACUUGGGUUACUUUGCAGCAUGAUUUGGGUCCUUAUCCAUUUGCACUAUGAUGUGAUAUCUGAUCAGUUUUGCAGCAUUUUGUCUAAAUCUGAGCAGAAAGUAUAGCCCCGUACAUUUCACACACCGUCCUGCUACUUGUACCAGCAGUCGCAUAAUCAAUAGUCACUGAUGAUCGUAUUUCACCGGUGGCCAUACAUACAUGUGCCAAGACUCUGCUGCCACCAUGUCUGACAGAUAAUGUGACAGACUUCAGAUUAUAAGAUGUUUGUCCUUCUUCAUACCUUUCUCUUCCCAUCAUUCCCAUCGUUUACCUUGGUUUCGUCUAAAUUCAAAUUGAUUUUAAACUUAGAUGUUAGCUGUUGUGAAGGUGUUUUUCUUAGUCCACAUUUCAAUCACAUCUUGAUUGUCUGAUGUGCCUCUGUUCAGAGACAAAAUUGCAAAACAAGCAAGCAAGCAAGCAAGCAA
ensembl:lncRNA